rnacentral:rRNA from 1 species
GGAGACAUUAGUUUGGAGUUCCUGGAGUUACUGUUUAUCAGUUAAAGGAGAAGGCUAUGCGGAGAGGUCCCGCGCUAAAAAAGGCAGGGGAGACCGCGUGGGUACCGAAGAGGCAUAGAGGAAGUGGCAGAGUGGCGGCUGCUCUAGAAGGUUUGAGAUCUCCGAAGGAGGAGGUGCAGGAGGAGUACGAUGCUACGGAAGCACGGCCACAAGGCGGGUCUAGGGAGCCGGAGGAGGGAUAGGCACAGCCGCCGGCUGGCGCAGGCCUCGGUCAAGGAGAGGCACCUCGCGCUGGAGAAGGUGCUGCGUGAGCAGCGCGGGUCCUUACUGCUGGAGCCGAAGGGGCUCCUCUUGCUACUCCUCCUCCUCCGGAGCUAGGCCACCCUAACGAAGGUUAACCUGCUCCUCCUCCUCGGUCUAGACGGCGACCUCCCAAGGCAUGGUCGGCUCCUUAAGCUGACCCUCCUUCAGCGCAAGCGGAGGCCUGGGAACCACCUCUUAGGCCUCGGGCUGACCCUCUACGAGCCGCUGUACGGCGGGUUGCGAGGGCGGCCGCGAUUGCUCCCAAAGCACAUGUGGAGACUGUCCCUCCGCAUACUCCACGAGCAGCGACAACCCCUACCCGAAAAGGAGUGGUUGUUCGGCGGCCGUCGGUCCAGCCGACAGUUCCGCGACGGUAGGCGGUAGCAGCGGCGACCGCUCCUUCCCCUCCCGCUCCUCACGAGGCACACAUUCCUGCCCCAACACCGCCCCCUCGCGCAGUUCUACUACGGAACGAGGGUAGCCAUGGUACUCCUUACGUAGGAAGGUACCGAACUCCACGCGUUGAGGACGGGUGAGACGGCGAAACUCGACGGCUGGCUGUUAGGGUUCAUGCUCUUGACCUUCCGACCUGUUCGGUACCGACGGACUUACUCAACACGCCGUUACCAUUCGAAAUGAGGAUAUACCAAAAUGUAUCUCAACAUACUAAACCAAACCCUUAGCUAGCCAGAUUAAUCCUUUGAUAUGGGUCAACAUACUUCCUUUUGUCUCUCCAUCAACGUCUAUACCAAAACACGUAAAACUAGACAAUGACAAGCGUUCUCUCUAGAGACAAUAAAGCUACGACGUUCCUAAUAUGUAUAAAAUUACGAUAUAUAUGUUACAACAUAGACAAGAUUUAAAUCUCUCUUAUCAACACGACCCUUUAAAACAUCUACGUAUAAACCUGCUCCUCAAAUAUACCACGGCUCAACGUUGAAUGACCAGCACUUAAGUCAAAGUCUUACUCAACAUAAAGUCGUAAAGUAAGAAAAGGUAACACUUAAAAAUUCCACAAACUAUCCCUUUCAAUUAACGUUUAAGUAUGACACAAGAUAGAACCUUGUAAACUGUUGGAAAACUAUGCUUCACCUUACACAGUCCGACUUACCCAAUAUAACUCUCCGCUCUUUCAAACGAAUAAGUUGUAAUAGAACAAUCUACAUUACUAACUUACCACCGAUACGAUCGUCCUCAGAAUCGACAUUCCUUACGAAGCAACUUUGAUCAAUGAAACAACCCGAGAGAAGUAGAAUAAAAGAAAGAAGA